AACGAACGCUGGCGGCGUGGAUAAGACAUGCAAGUCGAACGGAGAUCUUGAAUAGCUUGCUAAUUAAGAUCUUAGUGGCGGACGGGUUAGUAACACGUGAGAACCUACCCUUUAGACAGGAAUAGCCCAUGGAAACGUGGAUUAAUGCCUGAUAGUCUCUACGGAGUAAAUGGUGCCUCCAGGUAUCGCUAGAGGAUGGGCUCGCGGCCUAUCAGCUUGUUGGUGAGGUAAAGGCUCACCAAGGCGACGACGGGUAGCUGGUCUGAGAGGACGAUCAGCAACACUGGAACUGAGACACGGUCCAGACACCUACGGGUGGCAGCAGUCGAGAAUCAUUCACAAUGGAGGCAACUCUGAUGGUGCAACGCCGCGUGGAGGAUGACGGUCCUAGGAUUGUAAACUCCUGUCAUUGGGGAGUAAGACUUAAGCGUUAAGAGCGUUUAAGUUUGAUAGUACCCAAAGAGGAAGGGACGGCUAACUUCGUGCCAGCAGCCGCGGUAAUACGAAGGUCCCAAGCGUUGUUCGGAAUCACUGGGCGUAAAGCGUGUGUAGGCUGCGCGGA
rnacentral:rRNA from 1 species